GUGGGGAAUCUUGCGCAAUGGGCGAAAGCCUGACGCAGCCAUGCCGCGUGAAUGAUGAAGGUCUUAGGAUUGUAAAAUUCUUUCACCGGGGAAGAUAAUGACGGUACCCGGAGAAGAAGCCCCGGCUAACUUCGUGCCAGCAGCCGCGGUAAUACGAAGGGGGCUAGCGUUGCUCGGAAUUACUGGGCGUAAAGGGCGCGUAGGCGGACAUUUAAGUCAGAGGUGAAAGCCCAGGGCUCAACCUUGGAAUUGCCUUUGAUACUGGAUGUCUUGAGUUCGGGAGAGGUGAGUGGAAUGCCGAGUGUAGAGGUGAAAUUCGUAGAUAUUCGGCGGAACACCAGUGGCGAAGGCGACUCACUGGCCCGAUACUGACGCUGAGGCGCGAAAGCGUGGGGAGCAAACAGGAUUAGAUACCCCUGUAGUCC
rnacentral:rRNA from 1 species